UGAUCCUGCCAGUAGUCAUAUGCUUGUCUCAAAGAUUAAGCCAUGCAUGUCUCAGUAUAAACUUACAGAUGGUGAAACUGCGAAUGGCUCAUUAAAACAGUUAUAGUUCAUUUGAUGAUCACUUACUACAUGGAUAACUGUGGUAAUUCUAGAGCUAAUACAUGCGUCAAAGCUGGACUUUGCGGAACAGCUGUGUUUAUUAGAUACAGAACCAACCCAGGCAACUGGUCUUGUGGUGAUUCAUAGUAACCAAACGAAUCGUAUGGCUUCGGCCGACGAUGAAUCAUUCAAGUUUCUGACCUAUCAGCUUCCGACGGUAGGGUAUUGGCCUACCGUGGCAUUGACGGGUAACGGAGAAUUAGGGUUCGAUUCCGGAGAGGGAGCCUGAGAAACGGCUACCACAUCUAAGGAAGGCAGCAGGCGCGCAAAUUACCCAAUUCUGACACAGAGAGGUAGUGACAAGAAAUAACAAUACAGGGCAACCAUGUCUUGUAAUUGGAAUGAGUAGAAUUUAAAUCCCUUUACAAGUAUCAAUUGGAGGGCAAGUC
rnacentral:rRNA from 1 species